rnacentral:misc_RNA from 1 species
GAUGAAGAACGAGCGAAAUGCGAUAAGUAAUGUGAAUUGCAGAAUUCAGUGAAUCAUCGAAUCUUUGAACGCACAUUGCGCCCCCUGGUAUUCCGGGGGGCAUGCCUGUUCGAGCGUCAUUUCACCACUCAAGCCUCGCUUGGUAUUGGGCAACGCGGUCCGCCGCGUGCCUCAAAUCGACCGGCUGGGUCUUCUGUCCCCUAAGCGUUGUGGAAACUAUUCGCUAAAGGGUGUUCGGGAGGCUACGCCGUAAAACAACCCCAUUUCUAAGGUUGACCUCGGAUCAGGUAGGGAUACCCGCUGAACUUAAGCAUAUCAAUAAGCGGAGGA